CCUAACCAGAAAGCCACGGCUAACUACGUGCCCGCAGCCGCGGUAAUACGUAGGUGGCAAGCGUUGUCCGGAAUUAUUGGGCGUAAAGGGCUCGCAGGCGGUUUGUUAAGUCUGAUGUGAAAGCCCCCGGCUCAACCGGGGAGGGUCAUUGGAAACUGGGAAACUUGAGUGCAGAAGAGGAGAGUGGAAUUCCACGUGUAGCGGUGAAAUGCGUAGAGAUGUGGAGGAACACCAGUGGCGAAGGCGACUCUCUGGUCUGUAACUGACGCUGAGGAGCGAAAGCGUGGGGAGCGAACAGGAUUAGAUACCCUGGUAGUCCACGCCGUAAACGAUGAGUGCUAAGUGUUAGGGGGUUUCCGCCCCUUAGUGCCUGCAGCUAACGCAUUAAGCACUCCGCCUGGGGAGUACGGUCGCAAGACUGAAACUCAAAGGAAUUGACGGGGGCCCGCACAAGCGGUGGAGCAUGUGGUUUAAUUCGAAGCAACGCGAAGAACCUUACCAGGUCUUGACAUCCUCUGACAACCCUAGAGAUAGGGCUUUCCCUUCGGGGACAGAGUGAC
rnacentral:rRNA from 1 species